rnacentral:rRNA from 1 species
AUUGAACGCUGGCGGCAGGCCUAACACAUGCAAGUCGAACGAGUGGCGGACGGGUGAGUAAUGUCUGGGAAACUGCCCGAUGGAGGGGGAUAACUACUGGAAACGGUAGCUAAUACCGCAUACCAUCGGAUGUGCCCAGAUGGGAUUAGCUAGUUGGUGGGGUAACGGCUCACCUAGGCGACGAUCCCUAGCUGGUCUGAGAGGAUGACCAGCCACACUGGAACUGAGACACGGUCCAGAGUCCUACGGGAGGCAGCAGUGGGGAAUAUUGCACAAUGGGCGCAAGCCUGAUGCAGCCAUGCCGCGUGUAUGAAGAAGGCCUUCGGGUUGUAAAGUACUUUCAGCGGGGAGGCGUUACCCGCAGAAGAAGCACCGGCUAACUCCGUGCCAGCAGCCGCGGUAAUAC